AAAAAAGGUAAGCUACUAAGAGCGAAUGGUGGAUGCCUUGACUGGUAAAGGCGAUGAAGGACGUACUAGACUGCGAUAAGCUACGGGGAGCUGUCAAGAAGCUUUGAUCCGUAGAUUUCCGAAUGGGGCAACCCAAUGUAUAGAGAUAUACAUUACCUAUAUAGGAGCGAACGAGGGGAAUUGAAACAUCUUAGUACCCUCAGGAAAAGAAAUCAAUAGAGAUUGCGUCAGUAGCGGCGAGCGAAAGCGUAAGAGGGCAAACCCAGUGCUUGCACUGGGGGUUGUAGGACUGCAAUGUGCAAGAGGUGAGUUUAGCAGAACAUUCUGGAAAGUAUAGCCAUAGAGGGUGAUAGUCCCGUAUGCGAAAAACAAACCUUAGCUAGCAGUAUCCUGAGUAGGGCGGGACACGAGAAAUCCUGUCUGAAGCUGGGUCGACCACGAUCCAACCCUAAAUACUAAUACCAGAUCGAUAGUGCACAAGUACCGUGAGGGAAAGGUGAAAAGAACUGAGGUGAUCAGAGUGAAAUAGAACCUGAAACCAUUUGCUUACAAUCAUUCAGAGCACUAUGUAGCAAUACAGUGUGAUGGACUGCCUUUUGCAUAAUGAGCCUGCGAGUUGUGGUGUCUGGCAAGGUUAAGCAAACGCGAAGCCGUAGCGAAAGCGAGUCUGAAUAGGGCGCUUAGUCAGAUGCUGCAGACCCGAAACGAAGUGAUCUAUCCAUGAGCAAGUUGAAGCUAGUGUAAGAACUAGUGGAGGACUGAACCCAUAGGCGUUGAAAAGCCCCGGGAUGACUUGUGGAUAGGGGUGAAAGGCCAAUCAAACUUCGUGAUAGCUGGUUCUCUCCGAAAUAUAUUUAGGUAUAGCGUUGUGUCGUAAUAUAAGGGGGUAGAGCACUGAAUGGGCUAGGGCAUACACCAAUGUACCAAACCCUAUCAAACUCCGAAUACCUUAUAUGUAAUCACAGCAGUCAGGCGGCGAGUGAUAAAAUCCGUCGUCAAGAGGGAAACAACCCAGACUACCAGCUAAGGUCCCUAAAUCUUACUUAAGUGGAAAACGAUGUGAAGUUACUUAAACAACCAGGAGGUUGGCUUAGAAGCAGCCAUCCUUUAAAGAAAGCGUAAUAGCUCACUGGUCUAGUGAUUUUGCGCGGAAAAUAUAACGGGGCUAAAGUAAGUACCGAAGCUGUAGACUUGCGCACAACUUAGAUUAUUUAAGUUUAGAAUAUGAGAAACUAAGUUAUAUGUUUAGUUAUAUUUUUACUGAUUUUUAUAGAGUAAAGAUAGAAAUAAAACUUAGUAAAAUCAGUAAAAAUAUUCUUAGACUAAAGUUAAGUAGUUUAAGUUGUGUGCAAGUGGUAGGAGAGCGUUCUAUUUGCGUCGAAGGUAUACCGGUAAGGAGUGCUGGAGCGAAUAGAAGUGAGCAUGCAGGCAUGAGUAGCGAUAAUUAAUGUGAGAAUCAUUAACGCCGUAAACCCAAGGUUUCCUACGCGAUGCUCGUCAUCGUAGGGUUAGUCGGGUCCUAAGUCGAGUCCGAAAGGGGUAGACGAUGGCAAAUUGGUUAAUAUUCCAAUACCAACAUUAGUGUGCGAUGGAAGGACGCUUAGGGCUAAGGGGGCUAGCGGAUGGAAGUGCUAGUCUAAGGUCGUAGGAGGUUAUACAGGCAAAUCCGUAUAACAAUACUCCGAGAACUGAAAGGCUUUUUGAAGUCUUCGGAUGGAUAGAAGAACCCCUGAUGCCAUCGAGCCAAGAAAAGUUUCUAAGUUUAGCUAAUGUUGCCCGUACCGUAAACCGACACAGGUGGGUGGGAUGAGUAUUCUAAGGCGCGUGGAAGAACUCUCUUUAAGGAACUCUGCAAAAUAGCACCGUAUCUUCGGUAUAAGGUGUGGUUCGCUUCGUAUUAGGAUUUACUCCGAAAGCGAAGAAACUUACAACAAAGAGUCCCUCCCGACUGUUUACCAAAAACACAGCACUCUGCUAACUCGUAAGAGGAUGUAUAGGGUGUGACGCCUGCCCGGUGCUCGAAGGUUAAUUGAUGGGGUUAGCAUUAGCGAAGCUCUUGAUCGAAGCCCGAGUAAACGGCGGCCGUAACUAUAACGGUCCUAAGGUAGCGAAAUUCCUUGUCGGUUAAAUACCGACCUGCAUGAAUGGCGUAACGAGAUGGGAGCUGUCUCAAAGAGGGAUCCAGUGAAAUUGUAGUG
rnacentral:rRNA from 1 species